GGUUGAUAGGAUGCAGAUGUAAGUGCUGUAAGGCAUUCAGUCGAGCAUUACUAAUCGGUCGAGCUCUU
rnacentral:rRNA from 1 species